rnacentral:rRNA from 1 species
CGCGUAGGUGGCUGGGUAAGUGUGCGGUGAAAGCCCGGGGCUCAACCCCGGGUCGGCCGUGCAGACUGCUUGGCUUGAGCAUAGUAGAGGCAGGUGGAAUUCCGGGUGUAGCGGUGGAAUGCGUAGAGAUCCGGAAGAACACCGGUGGCGAAGGCGGCCUGCUGGGCUAUUGCUGACACUGAGGCGCGACAGCGUGGGGAGCAAACAGGAUUAGAUACCCUGGUAGUCCACGCCGUAAACGAUGGGUACUAGGUGUCUGGGGGAGCGACCCCCUGGGUGCCGGCGCUAACGCAUGAAGUACCCCGCCUGGGGAGUACGGCCGCAAGGCUGAA